AGCUACGGCCACACCGCCUGGUUCACGCCCGAUCUCGUUUGAUCUCGGAAGCUAAGAUAGGUUGGGCCUGGUUAGUACUUGGAUGGGAGACCGCCUGGGAAUACCAGGUGCUGUAAGUA
rnacentral:rRNA from 1 species